rnacentral:rRNA from 1 species
GAUUCCUUAGUACGGCGAGUGAAGCGGUAAAAGCUCAAAUUUGAAAUCUGGUACUUUCAGUGCCCGAGUUGUAAUUUGUAGAAUUUGUCUUUGAUUAGGUCCUUGUCUAUGUUCCUUGGAACAGGACGUCAUAGAGGGUGAGAAUCCCGUUUGGCGAGGAUACCUUUUCUCUGUAAGACUUUUUCCAAGAGUCCAGUUGUUUGGGAAUGCAGCUCAAAGUGGGUGGUAAAUUCCAUCUAAAGCUAAAUAUUGGCGAGAGACCGAUAGCGAACAAGUACAGUGAUGGAAAGAUGAAAAGAACUUUGAAAAGAGAGUGAAAAAGUACGUGAAAUUGUUGAAAGGGAAGGGCAUUUGAUCAGACAUGGUGUUUUUUGCAUGCACUCGCCUCUCGUGGGCUUGGGCCUCUCAAAAAUUUCACUGGGCCAACAUCAAUUCUGGCAGCAGGAUAAAUCAUUAAGAAUGUAGCUACUUCGGUAGUGUUAUAGCUUUUUGGAAUACUGUUAGCCGGGAUUGAGGACUGCGCUUCGGCAAGGAUGUUGGCAUAAUGGUUAAAUGCCGCCCGUCUUGAACC